UUGAACUCCUGACCUCAAGUUAUCCACCCACCUUGGCCUCCCAAAGUGCUGGGAUUACAGGUGUGAGUCUCCCCAUCUGGCCAGCAAUCUGUGCCAAAUUCUUAAUCCUGUCUCAAUGUGACCUCCUGCUACCUGAAUGCUUCUGGACCAUCUCACCUGGAAGUUGAGUACUACUGUUUAGAAAUUAGCAAGUGCAUGCUACUGCGUGCUCUUGCCAAUGUUGAAAUUAGCAAGAACAUGCACAAUUACAAAAGCGAAUCUUUCACAAAUGUGCAUAUUGUGCAGAAUGUUCUAAUUCCAAGUAGGAAACAACUGUGGAUUAUCUGCUGCUUUCUAUUGUGUCAUCCCAUCCUAUCAGAGAAGUUCUGCAACAGGAAGGUGAAACAGGUUCUGAAUGUUAAGCUGUAAGAGGUUAUGAAGGGCAUCUCUGCCUGGUAGCACCUCCCAGUGCCUAUUAGGGACAAAGGGACAGGAACAGAGGACAAUAACGUCUGUUUUUCCAACAAGCUGGUGACAAUGCGGAUCUGGAGGCAGAGCGUGCGUCAGCACUGGGGCCCAGAUGCAGCCCUGCAGCUGCAGAAGCAACUGGCACUCCAUCAUUUAUCAGGGAGAUCACCCCCUAGUCAGUGGCUCCUCACUUGCUGGCAUGUAUCCUCACCCGGGGUGCCAUCACUGCUCUUGCUAGAUCAGGCUAACCUCUCACUUUUUUUUUUUUUUUAAAUCUCUAGUGGCUUUCAGGAGGAACCUGGAAGCCACAAGUCCUCCAGUCUUAGUCCUGCCUUCUCAAGGUUAUGACCAAAGAUGGGACACAGCAUGGCAGGAAAAGCACUGGGUUAGAAGUCAAAGGGCUUGGCUUCUCAUCCCAGCACUGCCAUCAGCUCUGAGACCUUGGGGUGCUGUGUCUGUCUGGGGACGUUGAGAGCAAGGUAUUUAACUUGCUGAAGGACCCUCGGUUUCCUCAUCUAUAAAAUGGAAGUUGUCAUACCUCAGUCUCGGAAUUGCUAAGAGUCUCAAGUGUGAGAACACACAUAUGUGAUCCUAAGUCGGCUCAGACGCAGAGUGACUGGGAGCAAGCGGGUGAGCCAUGGCAGCAUGUGUUUCUGCAGGUGACCUGGAGGCCACCUGUGCCUAAACCUGACUCCAAUGCCCAGACAUGGCUGAGAUGAUUUCCAUCAGUCAGACCGCACAAAGCAAAUAAAAUCAACUAUCCAUUGA